rnacentral:rRNA from 1 species
UACGAAGGGGGCUAGCGUUGCUCGGAAUUACUGGGCGUAAAGGGCGCGUAGGCGGACAGUUUAGUCAGAGGUGAAAGCCCAGGGCUCAACCUUGGAAUUGCCUUUGAUACUGACUGUCUUGAGUUCGGGAGAGGUGAGUGGAAUGCCGAGUGUAGAGGUGAAAUUCGUAGAUAUUCGGCGGAACACCAGUGGCGAAGUCGACUCACUGGCCCGAUACUGACGCUGAGGCGCGAAAGCGUGGGGAGCAAACAGG